AGCAGGAAUUUCUUCAGAGUGGUUGUCAAUGACAUUAUGUGAACUUUACAAUUUUGGCCGUCUAGUUUUGGCGAAGAAACCAUCCUGAUGUUGGGGUAACAGGAAUUUCUGCAGAGUGGUUGUCAAUGACAUUUUGUGAACUUUACAAUUUUGGCCGUCUAGUUUUGGCGAAGAAACCAUCCUGAUGUUGGGGUAACAGGAAUUUCUGCAGAGUGGUUGUCAAUGACAUUUUGUGAACUUUACAAUUUUGGCCGUCUAGUUUUGGCGAAGAAACCAUCCUGAUGUUGGGGUAACAGGAAUUUCUGCAGAGUGGUUGUCAAUGACAUUUUGUGAACUUUACAAUUUUGGCCGUCUAGUUUUGGCGAAGAAACCAUCCUGAUGUUGGGGUAACAGGAAUUUCUGCAGAGUGGUUGUCAAUGACAUUUUGUGAACUUUACAAUUUUGGCCGUCUAGUUUUGGCGAAGAAACCAUCCUGAUGUUGGGGUAACAGGAAUUUCUGCAGAGUGGUUGUCAAUGACAUUUUGUGAACUUUACAAUUUUGGCCGUCUAGUUUUGGCAAAAGAAACCAUCCUGAUGUUGGGGUAACAGGAAUUUCUGCAGAAUGGUUGUCAAUGACAUUUUGUGAACUUUACAAUUUUGGCCGUCUAGUUUUGGCGAAGAAACCAUCCUGAUGUUGGGGUAACAGGAAUUUCUGCAGAGUGGUUGUCAAUGACAUUUUGUGAACUUUACAAG